GAUGAACGCUAGCGGCAGGCUUAAUACAUGCAAGUCGUGGGGCAGCAGGACUGUAGCAAUACAUUUGCUGGCGACCGGCAAACGGGUGCGGAACACGUACGCAACUUACCCUGAACUGGGGGAUAGCCCGGGGAAACCCGGAUUCAUACCCCGUAAUAUAAUGGAGUGGCAUCGCUUUAUUAUUAAAGCUCCGGCGGGUCGGGAUGGGCGUGCGGCUGAUUAGGUAGUUGGUUGAGGUAACGGCUGACCAAGCCUACGAUCAGUAACUGGUGUGAGAGCACGACCAGUCACACGGUGACUGAGCCACGGGCCAGAGUCCUACGGCAGGCAGCAGUAAGGAAGAUUGGGCAGUGGAGGCUACUCUGACCCAGCCAUGCCGCGUGGAGGAUGAAGGCCCUCUGGGUUGUAAACUUCUUUUAUAGGGGACGAAUCCUGUGUAUUCUUACGCAGUUGACGGUACCCUAGGAAUAAGCACCGGCUAACUACGUG
rnacentral:rRNA from 1 species